UGCUCAUUCGUUUCAGGAGCUGCCUGUCUUUCCAGGGCGGCCCAAUCAGAGCGCUCAGCGAACGGCGCUGUCAAUCAGGGGGCGCCGGCGGCCAAUCACAGCAGGAGGACCCCCGCGGCGCCGGCCUCUCGCGGAGUUUCGGGGCGGGUCCCGGGUUCAUUCACAACAUUCCUCCCCCACCCCGGGGGCUGGACAGCGCGCCCGGGGCAGCUGGGGCUGCGCCCACACACGGCUUUGUUUACUGAGGGUCGCUUCCGGGCGCCGCGAGGGGACAAUCCACAUGGCUCGGCCGGGGAGCGAGACGGAGCUGCGGGAUCCCCGGGCAGCAGCGCGGCCCCUCCUCCGUCUGGGUUGUGUGAUGCGAGGAACUUUCUCAGCCUCUCUGGACGCCAGUCAAGAACUUCGUUUCACAGCUGCGCUUUCUGGCCAGUCCCCAACCCACCAUUCAGUAAAGUCCCCCCGACCUGCGCUGUCACCACCGGCCAUAAGUGGCCUUUUCAUCCUUGAAAUGGGGCUGGCCCGAACGGCGCUGACCUACAAACGGAACACACAGAUCGGAUUUCUGAGACUUGGUAGGAAAAAAAAGUAGAUACGGAUAUUGUCAUCAUCCCCAUCUGACGGAUGAGGAAACAGAGGCCCAGAAAGGUGGCUUGCCCAAGGCCAGCAUUCAAGCCCAGGUGGGUGGGCUGGUCCUGUCACAUUGGCUGGAGAUCAAAGGCAGAAUUUUGGAAACACCAAGAUUCUAUUCCAACUCUAUUCUGAUUUUACAGAUGAGGGGAAUGGGGCCCAGAGAGGGUCAGAGAGUUGCCCAAGGCCACACAGCGAUCUUGGGUCAAAAAGCCCCUGGGAAGAUGGGGGUGCCCCCAGGAUGAGGUCUCUAGGCCUAUCUCAGACGUGCCUCUUGCCAGCGGCACUUUCAGGAGAGGCGAGGUUGGGGGUUCAGCCGCUCACGUUCUCCCUUCUGUGGCAGCCGAGCUGGGGCUCCAGGGAAACGGAAGCUGCGUUCACCCUGCCCGCCGGCCGCCGCCGUGAGCUCACUGUCUAGGCAUCUGCAGCUCCUGACCCGAAGCCCACGUGUCCUCAAGACCCACGGGAAACGGGCAACCCUGGAGCCCAGCCGCCAGCGAUCUAUGGGCGCCGCCCCGUCCCCUCCCUUCCCCGGAGCCCCUCCCUCUGCCAGCCGCGCGGGCCCCGGCCAUGACUGCAGGAACCGGCCGGGCGGUUUCGCUUCCUGGUCCCCGCGGCCCCUGGCGCCCAGCUGGAGGCUUGCUUCCUCCGUGUCUUCCCUCCCCUUUCCAAGCACAAAGUCAUGGGGAGCAUCAGCACCCGGCCUGGAAAAACGGGCACUGGAGGCGGCGCGGGACGGCGGAGGAAGGGCCGGAAGCAGCUGGGCAGGGACCUCGGUCCGGCAGGCAGGGAGUUGGUGGCCGCUGGGCUCGGCUGGCUCCCCUGGGACUCGGCGCGGCAGCUCCAAUCACACCUGUGAGGCCCUCCGCUUUCAGGCUCCCGAAUUCCCCACGGGGGUGGGUGGGUUAGGGUUCAUUUAACAUGGGGAAACUGAGGCUCAGAGAGGUGAAGGGACUUGCUGAAGGUCACACAGCCAGGAAGUGGCAGAAACUGGCCUAGGCCGCGAGGUGAGGGGGUUUCCAAGAGUCCGGGCUCUCCGAGCCAGCAGCAGGGGGGCUGGUGGGCAGGUGCAAGGCAGGCACUCUGGAGUCACCCAGGGCGGGAACGGGAAGUUGAUGCUGUCUGGGGAGGUGGAGGGGGAACGAGUGGGUGACAUUCCAGACCCCAUGCCUGUCCCGCCUGAAUGCCUUUCCUCGCCCCUGGGGUCCUCCUCAGAGGGGCUGGGGUCAGAGGGACAAAGGGAGCCAGUGGACAGUGCCCUUGGCCAUCCGUGGGCCUGGCCUGGAUUCACGGCGCCUCCUGGUGGCCGCAGGAGGCCCCGGAUGGCGCCCCAAGCCCACGGGUCCCAGCCCAGGCCCUUUGAGGUUCCGGUGGACAGGGACACCGAGGAUGACAGGGGAAAGGUGGAAACCAUCCCAAGAGGAAAUCGUGACUCUGACAGACAGUGAAGACGAGCCUGGGCCAACACUGCUAUUGAACUCGUGUGAACCAGGCAGAUGCUACACUUGGCUCAGAAGCGUCUGGAGAACAGGUCCCUCACAGAUCAGACUCUGGGCAUAAACACCCGUGCGGCCGGACGGACACUGGCUUUUGCACGUGGGAGGCGGGCUGUCCUCGGACCCUCUGCCGGACGGGCUGGAAUCGGUUGUACGUGGCCGUCAGAUUUUCCCGGUCCCGGAGCAGACAAGGCACACACCAGGCCACAACCGCACAGCCCAGAAGGGCGCGCUGUGUGGAGAGGAUGCACAGAGCGGUCGCCGCGGAGUCACCGAGACGUGGCCCUCCUUGCAGCAAGGUGGGGGGAUCCCUUCCCUCCAGGAGCGCCUGUCAACCGGGCAGCCCGGGCGCCGUCCCGCAGCUGGGGCAGCAGUGAAUUGGCAAAGGCGGGGCCCGGAGCUGCAGGGCCCGGAGCUGCAGACGGAUGGGAGGGGCACAGUGGCUGGUCCUGGGGGCCAGGGACAGAGAAGGGCUCUCUGGGAGGACGUGGAGAGGAGGAGGGAACAGCAGGUGCAGAAGGCCAGGAGGCAGGACAGGGCGGAGGCGGGGGCUGGGGCUUCCCGUUAUGCCCACCAGAGCGUCAGCUCUCAGCCCUUCCAGCCCAGUGUGCGCCAGGCUGUACACACAGUAGGGGUGCAAUAAACACCCAAGGGGCAGAAUGGACCCUCUCGAAGGGUGGAAGUCAGCCCUGCCCGCCGAGGUGGCCCAUGCCGCCCCCCCCCCCACCACCCUGCAAGGGACCCCAAACUGCCAGGGCCCUGCUUCAGCUGCCACCAUUCCCGACUGUUCGAGAUGUCAGUUACGAUUUUGUGUGUGAAACUGCUGCCCCUGCCUUUUCCAUUUGAUGGUUAAAACUCACCUAUAAAAGUCAUCGUUUAAAAGUGCGCGACCAAGCGACAUUUAGUACAUUCACAGUAUCUCACAGCCAUGUCUAUCUAGUUCCGGAACAUCUGUAGCAGCUCUGCAAAAACCCGUCGCCGUGAGCAGUCACUCCCCACCCCUCCCCUGGCCCCCGCGGAUCUGCACGUUUCUGGACUUGCCUGUCACGGACAUUUCACAUCAGUGGAACCACUGUCUGUGGCCUUCUGGGACCGGCUGCUCUCACCGAGCAAUUGUGCUUCAUGCCCAGCGUAGCAGGAAUCAGCGCUUCCUUCCUUUUUGACAGCUGAAUAAUAUUCCACCGCGUGACCACAUCCUGUUUGUCUGCUGACGGGCUGAGAGACACACGGGCUGUGUACGCUUUUGGGCCACUGCAAACAGUGCUGCUGUGACCACAUAUGUACGAGUUGUCAUUUGAAUCUGUUUUCAAUUCUUCUGUGUGUGUGCCUAUGAGUGGGACCGCUGGCUCACGUGGCAAACCUAUGUUGAACUUACUGAGAGGGCACCAAACUGUCUUCCACAGUGGCUGUCCCCUGCUUUCUAAAGAAACGUUGCUGGUUCAAGAAGUUUUAAACACCACUGUGUGUGGGACCAAAAAAAAACACAUCUGAGGUGGGUGAGGCUGGCCAGGCAAGGAUGGGCCAGCAGGGGACCAGUCACCCACCUCGGGGGGAGCAGCCAACUGCACCCACAGGCGCCACCACCUCUCCCAGAUAGCAAGUCAGUGUCGCCCAGCCCGCAGCCUGCCAGCCCAACCACCAGCAGAGGGAGGGCACCAGACCAGCGGCCCCUCCUGACUCCACAGGGAAAGUGGCUCCCUUGGACACCUGGCUCGUCCCUGGCAGAGGGUGACCCCCAGGCUAGAAGCACAGAAGUCCCUGGGGAGAGUGCUGGGGUAGUGCUGGCUGGCUCACAAGAGUGCACGAUGCAGGAGGAGGGAGAGUCCGGUUUAUUGUUCAGGCUGAAACUGUGGAGACAGGACCUGGAGAGGGGAGGGGGCCGCGGGAGCUGGUGCUGGUCCCCUCUGGCCUCUGCUGAGUUCCAGGCACUCUAUGGACCUGCUGCUUGGUCACCGGCGCAAGGGCCGGCCCAGUGAAGCUCGAAGUGCCACCUGAGGCUCUGGGGCGCAUGGCUCCUGCUCCCCACAGUGCGCAUGGUCUUCCCUGGGCUGCUGUCCUCAGGAAGGCGUCUUGGAGGAGGAGGCUGCCUCCUUC